UAAAUAACGAAUCAUAAGACCUUGCAUUCCCAAUUCCAACAGACCUGCUUACUAACCAUUUCGUAUAGCAGACAAUAAAAAGGGCAUAAGCAGAGAGUGAGAAGUUCUGCUAAACACCUGCUUUCUUCAUUAGUACAACUACUGACCAUCCUUGUAAUUUCAUCAUAAGAACACCACACCAGGGAAAUAUAACAAAAUAGCAUAUUUAUAUAUUUUAUACAUACAAUAAUUUUACAAAUCUAUUCCAUACAUUCUCUAAUAUUACAACAUGGACUUCACAUUAUAUAAAAAAGAAAAGCUAUAGCUACAAAUUAGAAUGUAUACAUCACUUGGAGAACUUUAUAUAUAAGUGUACUUUAUCUUUGAAUAAAAAGGGCGGUUCCAACCAAUCCCAACCAUAUCGUUAAACCAACCCAGAAUGCUCGACUUUUCCCUAACCCAACGGGAGGUUUCCAUACAAGAAAGUCCGCAAGGUAAUCCUUGGAUGAUGGAAGCUGAUUCGUAACUGAUCCACUCAUUCUUCGAUCCUUGUCCUUGUGCUUAUCACUCCAUGUUGCCGCAUAGCUACCAUUACAUCAUAAUUCAUACUUUUUGUAUCACAAAAGUAGCAAGAAGGAUAUAAACCAGAAUUUUGAAUAUGCAAUUACAGUAUAACAAAAGAAAAAUGAAUAUGCAGUUAUAAGGCUUCUCAGUACUAAUGAGUGGGAGUUCCUUUCACUAGAAAACUCAAGCAUUUAAAAAACCAAAAGGAAUAGAAAAGGAUGAUACAACUUGAGCAAGUUGCAGCUAAUUCAGCCCUACAUGUUACCCUAAACCUUUAAGACUAAAAGAGAGCAGAAAAAAUUGAAAAAGAAAAUGGAAAAUCAAGAGAAAGAAUUGCGCAUCCAGAUUGCAUUAUUGAUCUAUCAGUGACAAAAUUCAGUUACCGUGUGCUUUACCAAAAAAUCCAGCUUUAUCACUGAUUCUUACUGAGUUAAUUAUUAAACAAUAGCACCAUUGAUAUUGUUUGACGAUUUGUUAAAUGUUCACCAUCAGGGAGUACCUAAUUAAUCUUCUCUUUAGGAUACGCAUAGAAAUACUAAAAAUUCACUUGUAUUUUAGACCACUAACAACAGAGGUCACCAUAAAACCAGUAAAACACACAAGAAAAUAAUUAUAAACACGUUAAGGAAAGCAUCACACAAGGUAUAAACGUUAUACAGGCAGCCAGAAAAGGAGAAAAUCCAAAUCAAUUGGGUUUAUAAUACAAAAUGUGGGUAGUUGCAUUUAAUAGUGUUGGUAAAAUCAAGUGUUUUAAGAGAUUACAAGGUUAGGAGUGUUUCUAGUAAUGAUUAAGGCAUGUAAUAUAGUUCAUUAAUUAUGAUUUUGGUAGUAGUUAAAAUUUAAAGCAUGCAGUUGAAGGGUCAAGACAAAAGGCUUAUAAAUAGUUCUUACACUGUUGAAUGUAAAAAACAUGUUAUAAAACAAAGAGUAUUUUAUCUAGAAAGACUUGUUUGUCAACAAUCUACACAUGACAUCACCGAGCAGAAUGUGCAUUAUUCCAAGCUAAUAUGAUACUCGAUUUGAUAUUCAUCUUGUGUAGCUUAUUCAAAUUUGGUUAGCUAGUGAUGUUGUUUAUAUAAUGUGAUUAAUGUUAAAGUUAUUGUUGCCUUAGUCCACUAAGAAUUAAUUAAGAUCCUCUUGCUUCCUCUGCCUUCAUUUGGUGGAUUUUAAUUUGAGACACAUAACUUGGUUAGUAAACUGUGAUUAAAAUAUUAGAUAACUAGAAUAAGAUAAAUCGAUGUCCCACUUGUUGGUGCUUUAGUAGAGUUACAAAGCAUAUUUUUUGGUGGAUUUAUUCAAGAAACUGGUAGUGUAUAAUAUUUGUGAGAAUGCUUAAACAUACUUAGUUUUUUAUUUGUUAUUUUGUAAGUCUUGUUCUUCUAUACUCAAGCAGUUCUCAGGAUUAUUAUACAUUGAUAAGCAGGUAUUUAAAUCAUCAUCUUUAAACUUCUGAGUUCCAUUUGGAGGAUAAAGAAUUUCAUCUACUUUGGCCUCAGAAAUGCCAUGUUCUUUUCAAUAUGAUAGUAGAAAAGAAACGAGAAGUUGUGGUGGAAAUUAGUGACACGUGUCAUUGAAUGAUAAUGAAGAAAUAUUCAUUUCACUUUACAUGCAUGUAUCCUCACUGAAAACUUUGUCAACAAUAGUAUUUUCAUUGUUCAUAAAUUCACAAGAGAGUAAGAUGUGUAGCGUGAAACACCAUACGGUUCAUUUUGUAAAUAGAAAUGAUUUUUCCUAAAAGUCGAUAUCUGAUCAUUUGAAUUCAGAAAUUCAAGUAAAAGAUUACGUAGAGAAUACUGAUGUAUGCAAUCACAAAUAUGAAUAUGACGGUUUUGCAAUUGACGCAUUUUUCUGACAUCAUUGUCAGUUUGGAACAGAUGUUGCAAUGUCAUAUUCAAAUUAGAUGAAUGUGCAUUGUUGUAUUGUUGAAUUGGACUAGUUUGACUCAAAUAUUGCUGGAAAAGACUUUCAAUGUUUUGUAUUGCAAGUCUUACACAUUCCUAAACUAGUUUCUUUGAUCUAGACAAGCACUAGUUUUGGAAAAUUCAACACCUCCACCUUCGAAGAACUUCAUACGAAAAUCAUAAGUCCAACUAAGUCUUUUCCUACCCCACAUUAAUGAUUUACUUUUCCCUUAUUUCAUAGUUUGUCCUUCAAUAUUCAAUAAUGACUAACAUUCCCAAUUAUUGUUUACAAUAAUUUCCUUGACUGAAGUCUCCCAAAACCCUCUACGUUUGUAGUUACUACUCUUUCAUCGUCUAUCCUCCAUGAUGCGUAUUUUCACAAAUUGCUUAGAUUCGAAAUCUUAAGU
rnacentral:sRNA from 1 species